rnacentral:rRNA from 1 species
GUGGGGAAUUUUGGACAAUGGGCGAAAGCCUGAUCCAGCCAUGCCGCGUGCAGGAUGAAGGCCUUCGGGUUGUAAACUGCUUUUGUACGGAACGAAAAGACUCCUUCUAAUAAAGGUGGUCCAUGACGGUACCGUAAGAAUAAGCACCGGCUAACUACGUGCCAGCAGCCGCGGUAAUACGUAGGGUGCAAGCGUUAAUCGGAAUUACUGGGCGUAAAGCGUGCGCAGGCGGUUAUAUAAGACAGAUGUGAAAUCCCCGGGCUCAACCUGGGAACUGCAUUUGUGACUGUAUAGCUAGAGUACGGUAGAGGGGGAUGGAAUUCCGCGUGUAGCAGUGAAAUGCGUAGAUAUGCGGAGGAACACCGAUGGCGAAGGCAAUCCCCUGGGCCUGCACUGACGCUCAUGCACGAAAGCGUGGGGAGCAAACAGGAUUAGAAACCCUUGUAGUCC